AACCUCCGCAAUGUGAGAAAUCGCGACGGGGGGAUCCCAAGUGCCAUUCUUAACGGGAUGGCUUUUCAUUAGUGUAAAGAGCUUUUGGAAUAAGAGCUGGGCAAGACCGGUGCCAGCCGCCGCGGUAACACCGGCAGCUCUAGUGGUAGCAAUUUUUAUUGGGCCUAAAGCGUCCGUAGCCGGUUUAAUAAGUCUCUGGUGAAAUCCUGUAGCUUAACUGUGGGAAUUGCUGGAGAUACUAUUAGACUUGAGAUCGGGAGAGGUUAGAGGUACUCCCAGGGUAGAGGUGAAAUUCUGUAAUCCUGGGAGGACCGCCUGUUGCGAAGGCGUCUAACUGGAACGAUUCUGACGGUGAGGGACGAAAGUUAGGGGCGCGAACCGGAUUAGAUACCCGGGUAGUCCUAACUGUAACGAUGCGGACUUGGUGUUGGGGUGGCUUUGAGCUGCUCCAGUGCCGAAGGGAAGCUGUUAAGUCCGCCGCCUGGGAAGUACGGUCGCAAGACUGAAACUUAAAGGAAUU
rnacentral:rRNA from 1 species